ensembl:ncRNA K03H1.16 ncRNA
AACGAGCACGUACUCGGCUCAAACGGGUGCAACUUGUCUGCCAAUUUUCAAAGUUUACCUGCAAGAAAAUUACACAUUACCGUGAUUCAUUCCGUGAUUAUUUUCACUCGGGAAUCGCUCUGCCACUAUGAGGGAGUCUACGCAAGGACA